AUUGAACGCUGGCGGCAGGCCUAACACAUGCAAGUCGAACGGUAACAGGAAGAAGGUUGCUUCUUUGCUGAGGAGUGGCGGGGGGGGGAGAGAUGUCUGUGAGACUGCAUGAUGUAGGGGGGGAACUAGUGGAAAAGGUAGCGAAAACCGCAUAACGUCGCAAGGGCAAAAAGGGGGGCCUUCUGGGCUCUUGCCAGCGGGAGUGCCCAGAUGGGAUUAGCUAGUAGGGGGGGUAACGGCUCACCUAGGCGACGAUCCCUAGCUGGUCUGAGAGGAUGACCAGCCACACUGGAACUGAGACACGGUCCAGACUCCUACGGGAGGCAGCAGUGGGGAAUAUUGCACAAUGGGCGCAAGCCUGAUGCAGCCAUGCCGCGUGUAUGAAGAAGGCCUUCGGGUUGUAAAGUACUUUCAGCGGGGAGGAAGGGAGUAAAGUUAAUACCUUUGCUUAUUGACGUUACCCGCAGAAGAAGCACCGGCUAACUCCGUG
rnacentral:rRNA from 1 species